CAAAGCACACCUGCUGGUGUAAUGAGUGCAGUGCUGAGGAAUGCUUGGGAAGAUGUUGAAUUCUCCUCUCUUCCUCUCUUCUAGUCGCAGGAACCAAACCCUGGGUGCAGUGGAUGAAGAAAUGGACCUGUCUCCCCAAAGUCUGCUGAGUCUGUGUGAACAAGCAAAGAGGUGCUGACAACAACCUAGGCCUCUGGCUACUGUUUCCCGGCCACAUGUCUCAGUUUCCAGCAUCAUGUCAUUAAACUCCUGCCAAAUCAGAGAAAGACUGAGGUACAGUUGGGAAGGCUCUGGAAGGUGUAUGUGCUCCCUGAAGUCCAUCCCCUUGCCAAAAG